rfam:Maribacter arcticus strain DSM 23546 genome assembly, contig: LX93DRAFT_scaffold00009.9
UAUCUUUGCGCCCUGAUUGAAAACCAAUCACGUACAUAAAAAUCAUUUAAAAUAAUAUUGGAAUG